UACGUAGGGUGCGAGCGUUGUCCGGAAUUAUUGGGCGGAAAGAGCUUGUAGGCGGGUUGGCGCGUCUGCUGUGAAAAUCCGGGGCUCAACCCCGGACUUGCAGUGGGUACGGGCAGACUAGAGUGUGGUAGGGGAGACUGGAAUUCCUGGUGUAGCGGUGGAAUGCGCAGAUAUCAGGAGGAACACCGAUGGCGAAGGCAGGUCUCUGGGCCACUACUGACGCUGAGGAGCGAAAGCGUGGGGAGCAAACAGG
rnacentral:rRNA from 1 species